AUUGUUUUUAGUAGAAUACGGGAUUUGUACAUUAUAAAGUGAUCAUUAAAUCUUAUUGUCUUUGUUAUUGCGAAGAAGAAACGAUAUGCCUUCAUUUCUCAAGUUUGUUUAUGCUAUUAUUUUGUUUGUUUCCUUAUUUCUUGCUGCAACGAACGUUAAUGCAACAUAUGAUGCAUAUGAUGAAUGCCAGACUGAAUUCGAUUGUCCAAAAAAUAUUGAUUGUGUGUAUCCUAAAUCUAUGAAGUGUAUUGAUAAAAAAUGUAUAUGUGUUGGUGCUCGUAUGAUCAUUCCACGAGUUCUAUGAGUACCAAAUCCAUAAGAAUCCAUAAACACCCUUAAAGAUAGAAUUAGUUCCAGCACCGGCAAAGAUCUAUGUAAUAUUUCUUCCACCAUAAUAACUAUACUCUUAUUUAUUUUUAUUUACCAAAUUUCACAAACUUACGGUUAUUGAUUUCAUCCUCUAAAAUGAUGUAACAUCCCAUAUUACUAUCUCUAUAAAUAAUUUUGAUAGGAUUAAUUCUUA